rnacentral:rRNA from 1 species
UACAGAGGUCUCAAGCGUUGUUCGGAUUCAUUGGGCGUAAAGGGUGCGUAGGCGGCGCGGUAAGUCGGGUGUGAAAUCUCGGAGCUUAACUCCGAAACUGCAUUCGAUACUGCCGUUCUUGAGGGAUGCAGAGGAGACUGGAAUUCCCGGUGUAGCGGUGAAAUGUGUAGAGAUCGGGAGGAACACCGGUGGCGAAGGCGGCGUUCUGGACUGCAUCUGACACUGAAAGACGAAAGCCAGGGGAGCAAACGGG